rnacentral:rRNA from 1 species
AGAAUCAACGCUGGCGGCGUGCCUAACACAUGCAAGUCGCACGAGAAAGGGGAGCAAUCCCUGAGUACAGUGGCGCACGGGUGAGUAACACGUGAAUAAUCUACCUCCGAGUGGGGAAUAACUGAGAGAAUCUUAGCUAAUACCGCAUAACACUUACGAGUCAAAGCAGCAAUGCGCUUGGAGAGGAGUUCGCGGCCGAUUAGUUAGUUGGCGGGGUAAUGGCCCACCAAGACGAUGAUCGGUA